rnacentral:rRNA from 1 species
AUUGAACGCUGGCGGCACGCCUUACACAUGCAAGUCGAAACGGUAACAGGCUAUAGUAAUAUAGUGCUGACGAGUGGCGAACGGGUGAGUAUAACAUCGGAACAUACCUUGUAGCGGGGGAUAACGCAGAGAAAUCUGUGCUAAUACCGCAUACACUCUGAGGAGAAAAGCUGGGGACUUACUAGCAAUAGUGAGCCUGGCACUACAAGAUUGGCCGAUGCCUGAUUAGCUUGUUGGUGGGGUAAAAGCCCACCAAGGCGACGAUCAGUAGCUGGUCUGAGAGGACGAUCAGCCACACUGGGACUGAGACACGGCCCAG